AUGAACGCUAGCGGCAGGCCUAACACAUGCAAGUCGAGGGGCAGCACAGGUAGCAAUACUGGGUGGCGACCGGCGGAUGGGUGCGUAACGCGUAUGCAACUACCAUUGAUUGGGGCAUAGCCCGAAGAAAUUCGGAUUAAUACUCCAUAAUAUUCAUCAAAGGCAUCUUUUAUGAAUUAAAGCUUUUGCGAUCAAUGAUGGGCAUGCGUGACAUUAGUUAGUUGGUGAGGUAACGGCUCACCAAAACGAUGAUGUCUAGGGGUUCUGAGAGGAUUAUCCCCCACACUGGUACUGAGACACGGACCAGACUCCUACGGGAGGCAGCAGUGAGGAAUAUUGGUCAAUGGACGCAAGUCUGAACCAGCCAUGCCGCGUGCAGGAUGACGGCCCUAUGGGUUGUAAACUGCUUUUCCACGGGAAGAACCCUCCGACGUGUCGGAGACUGACGGUACCGUGGGAAUAAGCAUCGGCUAACUCCGUG
rnacentral:rRNA from 1 species